rnacentral:rRNA from 1 species
GGCAUGCUUUACACAUGCAAGUCGAACGGCAGCACGGGUGCUUGCACCUGGUGGCGAGUGGCGGACGGGUGAGUAAUACAUCGGAACGUGUCCUGAAGUGGGGGAUAACGCAUCGAAAGAUGUGCUAAUACCGCAUAUUCUCUGAGGAGAAAAGUAGGGGAUCGAAAGACCUUAUGCUUUUGGAGCGGCCGAUGUCUGAUUAGCUAGUUGGUAGGGUAAUGGCUUACNCAAGGCGACGAUCAGUAGUUGGUCUGAGAGGACGGCCAGCCACACUGGGACUGAGACACGGCCCAG